GAGAACACAUGUGUUCCAAGACCAGUAACCAUUGAUGACAGUCAGGGGGAGAAGAAAAAUCAGUUGGAAAAUUGAAACCAAUCUAUCUAGCUAGCUAAGUUACCCACCGAAGUUGUCAAAUGGAUACCCUACCUCUGCCUGUGGUGUUGGAAGAGGCUGCAUUGGGAAGAGGAUGCAUCAACACCCUGGAAAGAUGUUUGCGGUGCACUUACUCAUAACACUUGUUUGAGUGAUAAAUGAAUGUAUUGUCUUCAAGCUUGAUAAGAAGCCAUCAGUUACAAGGCAUAAAGACAGAUUGAGGCCUUCAAUCAAACUGAGGACAGAGAAAUGUGCACCAGGUCAAAGCUUUUUGCAUGAAUGGCUUUGAGAUUGUGUGCAUUUAAGAAGCUUUGGACGAAGGACUUCCACAGGGCUGCCAUCUCUAAAGUUCACUCAAAAAGGCAAUAGUUCUGAACUGGGUUUGCUUUUGUUGUUUUAAUUAUUUCAAUUUUGUUAAUUCUCUUUUAAACAUCCAUUGGUUCAAAGCUCAUUGACCAGUUAUCACUUGGCUCUAAAUUCUGUAGUUGCCACUUUAAACAUAAGGUAAACAUCCCCAUAGCGUUCACAUUUAUCUCAUGUAAAUGUUGAAUCUACAAUAGAUAUUAAAUAAACUAUUUAUUUGGGAAAUAUUCAGUCUUUGCUCUUUUCUUCAUUAGCAUGCUGAUUUCAAGUUGUAUUGGAUUUUUUUUGUAUCUGUUAUGACAUUGAAUACACAUUGUUUGCAUAUUUAGUACAUUUAGUUAAGUUUUCUAUUUAAAGUUAUGUGAUUUGGUUUAUGUAGAUACGACAUUUCAAUGUUAACCCUCCUGUUGUGUUCGUUUCAUGUUAAUUAAUUCUGUGUUCCCGGUCCAAAUUGACCGCCCCAUUACAGCUGAUUAUAAAUCUAUAAUAAUACAUAUAUUAUCACCUAAUCUUGUGUUAGAUCUUUUUAUCAACUUAAGUUCUUGUGAACAUUACAGGCUUUGAACUUCUGUUUGCUAUUUAUGGCCUGUAGGCCUCAUUGACCUGAGCUCAUACAACUUGUUUUUGUGUAAAAAAAAAAGCAUAAUGUAUGGAUUAUUUUGACUAUAACAAAUACAGAGAUGAAACAUAUUGUGCUAUUUAUCACAGACUAAAUUGUGUCAACGUUUAAGGACAUUCUCCUUCUCACCAGUGUCGUGAUCAAAUAUAUGAUCAAGAACCUCACAUACAGUAUAUCGUUUGGUCAUUGUGCUGCCACAGAA
rnacentral:lncRNA from 1 species